GACGAACGCUGGCGGCGUGCUUAACACAUGCAAGUCGAACGGUGAAGGGGAGCUUGCUCCCCGGAUCAGUGGCGAACGGGUGAGUAACACGUGGGCAACCUGCCCCAGACUUCGGGAUAACGCUUCGAAAGAGGUGCUAAUACCGGAUGCGAGCUCUGCAGGCAUCUGCGGGGCUGGAAAGUUUUUCGGUCUGGGAUGGGCCCGCGGCCUAUCAGCUCGUUGGUGAGGUAACGGCUCACCAAGGCGACGACGGGUAGCCGGCCUGAGAGGGCGACCAGCCACACUGGGACUGAGACACGGCCCAGACUCCUACGGGAGGCAGCAGUGGGGAAUCUUCGGCAAUGGGCGCAAGCCUGACCGAGCCAUGCCGCGUGAGCGAUGAAGGCCUUAGGGUUGUAAAGCUCUUUCGCCAGGGAUGAUAAUGACAGUACCUGGUAAAGAAACCCCGGCUAACUCCGUGCCAGCAGCCGCCGUAAUAC
rnacentral:rRNA from 1 species